AGCAGCCGCGGUAAUUCCAGCUCCAAUAGCGUAUAUUAAAGUUGUUGCAGUUAAAAAGCUCGUAGUUGAAUUUCGGGAUCAUCAGGUCGGUCGUGCCUCCGGUAUGUACUGGUCUCGAUGGUUCCUCCUUCUUGUAGAACCGUAAUGCCAUUAAUUUGGUGUUGCGGGGAAACAGGACUGUUACUUUGAAAAAAUUAGAGUGUUUAAAGCAGGCGAUCGCUUGAAUACAUUAGCGUGGAAUAAUGAAAUAGGACGUUCGAUCCUAUUUUGUUGGUUUCUAGGAUUGACGUAAUGAUUAAUAGGGAUAGUUGGGGGCAUUAGUAUUCAAUUGUCAGAGGUGAAAUUCUUGGACUUAUUGAAGACUAACUACUGCGAAAGCAUUUGCCAAGGAUGUUUUCAUUAAUCAAGAACGAAAGUUAGGGGAUCGAAGACGAUCAGAUACCGUCGUAGUCUUAACCAUAAACGAUGCCGACCAGGGAUCAGCGGAUGUUGCUUAUAGGACUCCGCUGGCACCUU
rnacentral:rRNA from 1 species